rnacentral:rRNA from 1 species
AUUGAACGCUGGCGGCAGGCCUAACACAUGCAAGUCGAACGGUAACAGGAAGAAGCUUGCUUCUUUGCUGACGAGUGGCGGACGGGUGAGUAAUGUCUGGGCAACUGCCUGAUGGAGGGGGAUAACUACUGGAAACGGUAGCUAAUACCGCAUAACGUCGCAAGACCAAAGAGGGGGACCUUCGGGCCUCUUGCCAUCGGAUGUGCCCAGAUGGGAUUAGCUAGUAGGUGGGGUAACGGCUCACCUAGGCGACGAUCCCUAGCUGGUCUGAGAGGAUGAACAGCCACACUGGAACUGAGACACGGUCCAGACUCCUACGGGAGGCAGCAGUGGGGAAUAUUGGACAAUGGGCGCAAGCCUGAUGCAGCCAUGCCGCGUGUAUGAAGAAGGCCUUCGGGUUGUAAAGUACUUUCAGCGGGGAGGAAGGGAGUAAAGUUAAUACCUUUGCUCAUUGACGUUACCCGCAGAAGAGGCACCGGCUAACUCCGUG